AGAGAGAGAGAGAGUGUGUGUGUGUGUGUGUGUGUGUGUGUGUGUGUGACGAGCACACACGCACAAUAGUCCGAUACAACCUUUGAUAGCCGACUCCUCUCUUUUAGACGCAAAUGACCGAAGAGGCUGCAAAUCACUUCUGGGGGCCAGCCAACGCUUGACUCGCGAUUGUUACGUUUCUGGGAUGUAGUGUGAGAGGAUCUCUCGGCUUUCCACCUAUGGAUCAGAGCUCGUGGAUGCGCUCAAGGAGGGAUAGAGUAUGCUGUACCGUCUCAGACCCUCCACUGGGCAACAUCCCGCUCCAUCCCUCUGUCACUGUCUCCUGUCUCCGUCUGCCCCAGGAGGACACGCGCGGCUCCCUGACACCCGAGGUCUUCAUGUUGAAUAUGAUGUGACACAACAACCAAAUCCAAAUCUACAUGUGACAACAUUAUAUUUACUUGUAGACCCAUAGGCCAGGAAUAUAAUCUGUCAAAUUGCUUGAUCUAUCAUAAAAAGAGCCUCCACCCAAAUUAAUAAUGGUGGACUGAGGCUCCCCCCUCUUUUACAAAGAUACGCAUUAUUAACGGAUGUAAUUAUUGUAGUUUAUUAUAACUUUUAAUUUAAUUUGCAUAUAAAUGUGGUGUUUUUAAUUAAGAUUAAAUAAUUCAUUCAUAAAUAAGUUCCGAUCCUACGCAAAUGCCCUUGUUAUAUUCAAUUAAAUAUGUAAUAUUUAAAUGUAA